rnacentral:rRNA from 1 species
GUGAAUCAUCGAAUCUUUGAACGCACCUUGCACCUUUUGGUUAUUCUGAAAGGUACGCCUGUUUGAAUGUCACGAAACCCCCCUCGGCUCUAAUGCUUUCUAAAAGGAUUAGAGACGGAUUCUGAGUGUUGGCGUGAAUACGCCUCGCUUUAAAUAGAUCAGCACUUUUGGAUGGUUGAAUAUUAGUUCAAAAGACGUACUUGAUGUUGUAUUUAUAUGUCAUUGAGGCAGUCUUUGGUCGUUCCGACUAUCUGCUAAUACGAAGACUUGAAGAAUAGCUUCCUAACCCUAUUCAUUUAACCUUUAGACUUCAAAUCAGGUGGGACUACCCGCUGAACUUAA